rnacentral:rRNA from 2 species
UACGUAGGGUCCAAGCGUUGUCCGGAUUUAUUGGGCGUAAAGAGCUCGUAGGCGGUUCGGUAAGUCGGAUGUGAAAACCCCAGGCUCAACCUGGGGACGCCAUUCGAUACUGCUGUGACUUGAGUUCGGUAGGGGAGCACGGAAUUCCUGGUGUAGCGGUGAAAUGCGCAGAUAUCAGGAGGAACACCGGUGGCGAAGGCGGUGCUCUGGGCCGAAACUGACGCUGAGGAGCGAAAGCGUGGGUAGCAAACAGG